rnacentral:rRNA from 1 species
AUGGUUGGGACGGCGGCGCGGGAGAUCGAGGGGGUGGCAGCCGCGCGGGGACGGAGGCUGGGCAUGGAUCUGAAUCGGGAACAGAGAGGGGGAGGAGCCGGCGGCUGUGGGUGGAGAUGGAUUAGGUUUCCGUGGUCGUGGGGAGAGAGGCACGAGGUUGUGGCCUCUCGGGCUGGUGGGCUAUGUGUGUGGCUUGCUGAUCUCUACGAACCCAAUUCGCGUGAGGUGGUCGUACCAGGCCGAGGCAGGCUUCCGGUCAAUGAGGAAUAUGUGCAUCGUGUUAUGGGCGUGCCGCGUGGAGGGAAGGAUGUCCCUUACAACCUCCCUAUUGAAGCUGAUAUUGAGUUAGGGCUUGAGUUGUUUGGCGAGCUUGGAUAUGCCCCUAAAAUGACUGAUCUCGUUGAUCUCAUAAAGGGUUCUGAAAAUUCUGAUGAUACUUUCAAGCGUAUGUGGCUUUUGCUUGCGGGGAAUACAGUCAUUGCCCCGACCACCUCCAACAAAGUUAGCCCCCGAUGGUAUGUUGUGCUGCGGGACAUCGAUGGUAUUAAAAACCUCAAUUGGUCCAAAUGUAUUGCUGAUGAACUACACAAGGCGCUGCUGAAACGCAAGCCUACCAGGGGUUGCCUUCUAUUCUACAAUUUAAAGCCUGAGUUUGGCAUGAAUUUCUGUCUGUUUGGUGGUCUGGAAGGUCUUGACAAGUUUAUGCGUGUUCAUACUGCCCCAAGCUGCAGUCAGGAGGUGAGCAUGUAA